rnacentral:tRNA from 1 species
GCGCGCGUAGCUCAGCUGGUUAGAGCGUUGCAUUGACAUUGCAGAGGUCCCUGGUUCGAAUCCAGGCGUGCGCA